rnacentral:lncRNA from 10 species
UGCCCCUCGGCCGGUGACCGAGUUAAGCACCGAGCUGUAAAUCGCUUGAGACCUGUAUUUGGUUGUUUUGUUGGUUUUGCCAAGUAAGGUCACUUGAGGAUUUCUUGGCUCGAGGUCCCAGGUUGCGCAGACUCUGACUGCAUCGAGUUGAGAAUUUUGGUCAGAAUGUUAAAGUGGAAACCUACCCCAGGCUGUCAUGAGAUGGGGUCCCACUAUAUUGACCAGGCUGGUCUGUAACUCCGGGCCUCAAGGGAUCUUCCCAACUCCACCUCUCAAAGUGCUGGAUUACAGCCUGAGCCACUGGACCUGGCUACUGUCCAUUCUUUGAUGAAGACAAAGUUUACCCUGAAAUCCUGUUCAGGUGAGCACACAGUUUCUAUCACUUUCUGGUAACUUCCUAAACUAUUCCUUAUGGAAUAGUUUUAAUAGUGC